CCAAGCAGUGAUCUUGUGAAGCCCGGCAAUCAUGUGACACCUCCCAGGAUGACAGUUCUGCCAGAGACAGCAGUCAUUCCACCCAAAGCUGUCUUUUCUGAGCUGACAUUUGGGAUUCUUGCUCAAACAAAUCCAUUUUCCUAGAAGACUGGACAACUGCCUUCUACCUGCCUAUCCGUGUAUCCUACCUCCUCUUCUCUGCUGUAAACCCCACACCUCCAAUAAGAGAGGCUGAGUCCAGCGGGGGCUGAAGUCCCCUCCCUUAGAAAGGACGUGACUGUGAUCCUGAGCCCCCCUGGACUAAGAGUGCAGGCUGCUGGGAGGCUGCAGCUCAAUGGCCAUACACCAUCCCUUCCUCACCGAGAAUCUCAUUCUCACCUCCGGAGACUUACACUAUGAAGUUAACCUAUGUCCCGCCACUGUUCCCACCUUUUCAGGCUGCUGAUGCUGAGUGGAUUGGAGCGGAAGGUCCAUCUUGGCUAUUCCACAGAUUGUUUUUAUAGCUAUGCCGCACGCCUUCCUAUCCUUUCAGGAGAGACCCAGGAUUUUUUGCACAACCCCUUUAAGAUGCAGGACUCCUGAACGGUGACCUCACUCCUUGGCCAACCGGCCCUCAGAGCCCUCCUGCGGGAGACAGCCAGGUGUUUGAUGUAGACCAACAAAGAAGACAAGCUCAGAGCCACAGGUCAACUGGUCCAACAGAUCUCAGAAUCUGUGUCAUGGUGGAUCCUACAAAUGCCACUCGUGGUGAACUGCAGGCUUGGUGUCUUUACUGGACUGUGUCUAUAAACAUCACCAUGUCCAGGAAUGGAUGAUACUCACCAAGCAUGUUCUAUACAUAAGCUGCAUGCUAGGAUGGGAGAAGGCAAGAUGAAGGCUCUGAAAAGACUUUGUGGGAGUUGUUUCUGGAUUUCAGAAUGUGCUUUUGGGUUGCAUCACCAUAGGCAUCAAUAAGCCACAGAGCACUUUUGAUACCAGAAGAUGAGACACGCUCCUGUAGCAUACACCUCAGGUUUGGGGCCCUCAACUGUCCACAGACAGGAUUUUUGCUCUUCUGCUGGAUGCUUGAAUGAUAUGCUUCUGUGAAAACAUCCUUGGUGCACAACACGCAACUGGGUUCAAGAAAGCUUGAGCUGUCUCUAGUCUUUGUCAAAACAACAAAAAGACUUUGUCAGCAAGAAAUACCUUUAACUUAAACAAGUAUGAAUUGCUUGUCUUUCUUCCUUCCUUCCUUCCUUCCUCCUCCUCAUCCUCCUUCUCCUCUUCUAGUAAGAGCAUUAUAAGAGCUAGUUAUCCAGGGAAUAUGCCACUGUCCAAAGAUGCUGUUCUUGGGUUACAUCUUCCUUUCCUGCUGUCCCUGAGAAGGGGGUAUUUGUUUUCAUACUUGCUGCCUCAUAGCCCCCAUCAUGAUUGCCACACCUCUGUGUAUCAGGUUCUCAUCCAGGGUAUGAAGUAAAAGGAAAAUCAAGGGAGCAAAUGGCCUGGUCAUCAAACCUGUUUUCAGUGUCAGGAAAACAAAACCUUUCCUUAAAGCCUAUGCAGAUUUUUUUUACUUGCAUUCUCAUAAGCCAGAAACAAGUUGUAUGACCAUUACUAAACAAGUUGUUAGUGAAUAGAAGCAGUGUUAAUCAAGACUCACACCCAGGGCUCGAUGAUGGCAGCCUUUGUGGUGGGAGAAUAGAACAAAUAAGAGAAUAAAACAGAGAGGACUUAGCAGGGAAGAGUGGGAUGGAGUUGAUGAGAAGGAACUCAUUAGGAAGAAGUCAUCGGCACAGGCUUUGUGGAAGAUGGGAUCAUAUUGGCCGGAAGGAGGCUUUUGUUUGCUGAUACCCAUUCCUCUGGCCCAAAGAGUAACUAACCAGGACUAGAGAAUUCAUAGUGUUCCACAAUGAGAAGAAAAAUGUGCAGUGUGAAUCUAUGAUGCCUGGAACUGAUGCAGCCAUGUUGCCCCCAUGAGGAAUCCAGGUUGGAGAUGUAGACAGAGGGCCCAUGUAUAGAUGAAGGGAAAGAAUUGGAGCCAAUACCUUGAUUUAAAUAUAACCAUGACACACCUGGCUUUUAGACUUUUUUCAGUCACAAAUGUUAGCUAGCAUAGUCUAAGAGUUGUGCAAAUCAGCUUGUCGUGUAACCAGAAGAAUAGUAACCAACAGAGAUGAAAUAGGAAGUCAGCAAACAGGGUUGCAUAAGGAUGAUGCAGUUUUGAAGUACUGUGUUGGGCCAAAUUUGGUCAACACUCUUUAGCUUGACUUGAUCUGACAUGCUGAUGUGCAAUAUGAUACACUGAUGCUUCUAGCAGAGAUAUCCGCAAAGUAUUCCAGAACCCUCUCAUCAUGGGACAGACUGUCAGCCAGUCUGAUCCUUGCCCUGUGAGCUUCAGGCCUGCAACAAGGUCAGACCUAGCAUUCCCAUGAACAGAGAGCGUAGGAGACACAGGAAGGUGGGCAAUGUUUUGGUUCCUCAAAUGCUUCCCCAGUGGCUUCUGAGCUUCCUCCUGUGGGAGGCCCUGUGGCAGCAGGCAAGGGUGGCAGCUGAUCAGAAGUAGACAAGAAAGAAAUCCCAGCAAGCUUCAGAAAGCCUGGGCAGCCUUGGCAUGAAGAGGUGAGAGGAAGUGGUGGCCUGAGAGAGAGACAUGCCUGACACUUAGCCCUGCCCUCCUGGAGCACCAGUGUGCGAAGACUCACACAUAGUGCAAGUCUGCAUGUAACAGACAGGCAACACGGAUUGGGGGCGGGGAAACAACUAACAAACCAUCACAUUUUAACCUAUCUGUUUGACUCUUUCAUAUUAUUUUAAUUCCACCUGUGUGUGCAUGACCUGGGAAGAAUGCACUGGCCUUGAAGUUGACAGAUGAGUGGGACCUGGCCACCAAGUAAUGUGAGGACUCUCUAUGGAAGGACUAGGUGUGUGCACCUCUGUGUGUGUGUGUGCUUGGGCACAGCUUCUUCUAUCUAGUAGGGGCUGAGUGUGGAGGCUGAAGCGGGGAAGGCCAUGAAGAGUAGGGACAGACCAGACAGGACCUAGAGGUCAUUAUCAGGGUUCAAGAUCCUGUGCCGAGGCAUGGGAACUGCAGCAGAGUUUAAACCAUGAAUGAUGUCUUUGUGUUGCUCACCAAGUCUUCUCUUCUGCUUCUGGGAGGGUAGGUGGGAGGGCAGAGAGGAGGCCAGGGUGCUCAGGGCUGUGGAGAAGGACAAGGAAGCAGGUGUGUGUAGGUGUCUGGAGAGCCUGGCCCCUGUGCUCUCUAUAGGGUCACAGGGCUGUGUGUUGCUACAAGGACUAGUUUCUCUUAAUGAGUUUUCAGUCACCUUUGCUGAUUUCAAGUGGGUCAAAAAGAACAGCUCAAAUCCUGCCAUUAGGGAGCUGGGAUGACUCAGCUAUGUGGAGGCUCAAAGCCUUCAGGGUCAGGCUCUGGGAGACAGCCCUUGACAGUAGUCCUCAAACAAGACCAACAAAAUGUCUCUGGAACGUUGGGAGGGGGUACUCAACGAAGAGCCUUGGCGUCCUUGUUAGCCUUUAUAGCAACACUGUUGGUUACAUUUUGUUAACUGAUACAUGCUAGGAUCUUCUGGAAAGAGGGAAACUCAAUAGAGAAAAAUGCCUCCAUCAUAUUGGCCUAUAGGUUAGCCUGUAGGGGGAUUCUAUUGAUUAGUGAUUGAUGUAGGAGAGGCCAGCCCACUGUGGGCAGUGCCGCCCCUCGGCAGGUGGUCCUGGCUUGUAUAAAAAGCUGGCUGAGCAAGCCAUGGGAGUGAGGCAGUAAGCAACACUCCUCUAUGGCCUCUCUUCUGUUCCUUCAGUGAUGUCUGUGAUGUAGAUACGUAAGCCAAAUAAACCCUUUCCUCCCCAA